AUUACUUCAUUCGAGCCCUAGCGACUUAGUUCCCUACCCAUAUCCCAUGAAACCUUGCAAAAUUACAGAAGACAAGCAAUUACACACAACAAGCAAAGAACUGAUGGUGGUCGCGAUGACGAGAAGGAAAAAUUCAGAUGAAAAGUCGGGUGGAGGACCAUGUUGCCAAGGGCUCGAUCGAGGAAUAACCUCUAUUUAGUUGAGGUUUUCAGGUAUCGUAUCCGGGAAAUGUGCGAUAAGAGCGGCAUGAAGAUGAAAAUAAAGAAAUCACAUUGGUGGAAAGCCUUGCCGAAGUGUCUCUAUUACAGCAUUCCGGAAACAAAGGUAUCAUAAUUUCAAGAUCAAAGCUCCACGUGGAACACCGCUUGUUAUUCAAAGUGAAGACGACAACACGUAUGACUCGCAUGCACUGGCUUGUCUUCUUCCACGAGAAAUGGAACGCAUUCCAGAGGCUCUACGAGAAGUCCAGAUUUUCAGCAAAUCGCAGAGAAAGACAUACACUUUAGGAGAUGUCAAAGGGCAGCAGAUCGGCACGGUUCAGCACUUUCUAAACAUACAGCUGCAUGCUUUGCUUCGAUGUGGCAAAAUAACCAGGAAUUGAAGGGUAAGUUACUGUUUUCUUGCUUUACUGUUACUUUUUCGUAAAGGCUUGAUGGACUGAAAUUGAUAAUGUCUAUUUAAAAAUCGGAGAGAAGCAAGAUAUUGUCUUUCCUCGACCUAUACUGGAGAGAAAUGAAAUUGUCCCGAUUCCGCGAUCUCACACCUCACUCGUCCCAAUUGUUAUCAGUGCGCGUUAUUUGGUUCAACCUUAUUUAAUUGGUUUUCUUGUAACCCAAAAUAGGGAAAUCAACGGAGAACGGACAGUAACAUCGAAGCCAAGCUCUACCCAGAAGUUCUCCAGAUACAAACAGACUGGCGGAGGAGCUUUUAUUCCUGUGACGCUCUUGGUGGAAGGACCACAGCGUUACAAAGAAUUUGUGCUAGAAAGAAUCCGCUUUACUCUUCCAGAAUGCGAGAAUGUCGAGGACAUGCAUGUUGAAUGUUUGAAAUAAACGAAUAUUUUUAAUGGUAUCUUACGUCCAGUCCUUAUUAGCGAAUUUUGUUUCAGCUUACUACCGCAUUACAACAUGGCCGCCACAAAA